rnacentral:piRNA from 1 species
AGCAUACUUGAAGAGCUGUAGGAAG